GACGAACGCUGGCGGCGUGCUUAACACAUGCAAGUCGAACGAUGAAGCCGGAGCUUGCUCUGGUGAAUUAGUGGCGAACGGGUGAGUAACACGUGAGUAACCUGCCCUUGACUCUGGGAUAACUGCGGGAAACUGUAGCUAAUACCGGAUACGACCCUCGGAGGCAUCUCCUGGGGGUGGAAAGAAUUUCGGUCAAGGAUGGACUCGCGGCCUAUCAGCUAGUUGGUGAGGUAAAGGCUCACCAAGGCGACGACGGGUAGCCGGCCUGAGAGGGUGACAGGCCACACUGGGACUGAGACACGGCCCAGACUCCUACGGGAGGCAGCAGUGGGGAAUAUUGCACAAUAGGCGCAAGCCUGAUGCAGCAACGCCGCGUGAGGGAUGACGGCCUUCGGGUUGUAAACCUCUUUUAGCAGGGAAGAAGCGAAAGUGACGGUACCUGCAGAAAAAGCACCGGCUAACUACGUGCCAGCAGCCGCGGUAA
rnacentral:rRNA from 1 species